AGUCGAGCGAUCGAUGGGAGCUUGCUCCCUGAGAUUAGCGGCGGACGGGUGAGUAACACGUGGGCAACCUGCCUAUAAGACUGGGAUAACUUCGGGAAACCGGAGCUAAUACCGGAUACGUUCUUUUCUCGCAUGAGAGAAGAUGGAAAGACGGUUUACGCUGUCACUUAUAGAUGGGCCCGCGGCGCAUUAGCUAGUUGGUGAGGUAAUGGCUCACCAAGGCGACGAUGCGUAGCCGACCUGAGAGGGUGAUCGGCCACACUGGGACUGAGACACGGCCCAGACUCCUACGGGAGGCAGCAGUAGGGAAUCUUCCGCAAUGGACGAAAGUCUGACGGAGCAACGCCGCGUGAACGAAGAAGGCCUUCGGGUCGUAAAGUUCUGUUGUUAGGGAAGAACAAGUACCAGAGUAACUGCUGGUACCUUGACGGUACCUAACCAGAAAGCCACGGCUAACUACGUGCCAGC
rnacentral:rRNA from 2 species